rnacentral:tRNA from 1 species
ACUCAUUAGAUGUAAGAUGUAGUCU